UACGAAGGGGGCUAGCGUUGUUCGGAUUUACUGGGCGUAAAGCGCACGUAGGCGGAUCGAUCAGUCAGGGGUGAAAUCCCAGAGCUCAACUCUGGAACUGCCUUUGAUACUGUCGAUCUGGAGUAUGGAAGAGGUGAGUGGAAUUCCGAGUGUAGAGGUGAAAUUCGUAGAUAUUCGGAGGAACACCCGUGGCGAAGGCGGCU
rnacentral:rRNA from 1 species